UGCAGCAUCAGCAGCACAUAGACUGAAAUUGGAAUGACAGAGAGAAGAUUAGCAUGGCCCUUGUGCAUUGAGGACACACAAAUGUGUGAAACAUUCCAUAUUUUU